rnacentral:snRNA from 1 species
AUAUUCACUUAAGCAACACAUAUACCAAAGUAAUUAUAGAGAAAAGAUUGGCAUGGUCCUUUAUUAGGAUGACAUGAAAAUUCAGGAAGGUUUCCAUACAUUU